rnacentral:rRNA from 1 species
UACAGAGGGUGCAAGCGUUAAUCGGAAUUACUGGGCGUAAAGCGCACGUAGGUGGCUUUGCAAGUCAGAUGUGAAAUCCCCGGGCUUAACCUGGGAACUGCAUUUGAAACUGCGAGGCUAGAGUAGAGUAGAGGAAAGUGGAAUUUCAGGUGUAGCGGUGAAAUGCGUAGAGAUCUGAAGGAACACCAGUGGCGAAGGCGACUUUCUGGAUUCAUACUGACACUGAGGUGCGAAAGCGUGGGGAGCAAACAGG